rnacentral:rRNA from 1 species
CAGUGAGGAAUAUUGGUCAAUGGGCGCGAGCCUGAACCAGCCAAGUAGCGUGAAGGAUGAAGGCCCUAUGGGUCGUAAACUUCUUUUAUAAGGGAAUAAAGUGAGGCACGUGUGCCUUUUUGUAUGUACCUUAUGAAUAAGGAUCGGCUAACUCCGUGCCAGCAGCCGCGGUAAUACGGAGGAUCCGAGCGUUAUCCGGAUUUAUUGGGUUUAAAGGGAGCGUAGGUGGAUAUAUAAGUCAGUUGUGAAAGUUUGCGGCUCAACCGUAAAAUUGCAGUUGAUACUGUAUGUCUUGAGUACAGUAGAGGUGGGCGGAAUUCGUGGUGUAGCGGUGAAAUGCUUAGAUAUCACGAAGAACUCCGAUUGCGAAGGCAGCUCACUGGCCUGUCACUGACACUGAGGCUCGAAAGUGUGGGUAUCAAACAGGAUUAGAUACCCUGGUAGUCCACACAGUAAACGAUGAAUACUCGCUGUUUGCGAUACACAGCAAGCGGCCAAGCGAAGGCAUUAAGUAUUCCACCUGGGGAGUACGCCGGCAACGGUG